GACAGAGGGUGCAAACGUUGUUCGGAAUUACUGGGCGUAAAGCGCGUGUAGGCGGCCCUGCAAGUCGGGUGUGAAAUCCCACGGCUCAACCGUGGAAGUGCACUCGAAACUGCAGGGCUAGAGUCCUGGAGAGGAAGGUGGAAUGCUUGGUGUAGAGGUGAAAUUCGUAGAUAUCAAGCGGAACACCGGUGGCGAAGGCGGCCUUGGUGACAGUGACUGACGCUGAGACGCGAAAGCGUGGGGAGCAAACAGG
rnacentral:rRNA from 1 species